GAGCAUGAUGGGGCAUGUGCGGGAGCGCCAGGCGGGGCAUGUAACCAGAGCGUGCGGGGCAUGAUGGGGCACGGACAUGGGGGGUUAGGUGGGGCACGUAAUUGGAGCUCGCGGGGCAGGAUGGGGCAUCUAACUGGAGCGACAGAGAGCACGAUGGGGCACUUACAGGGGCCGGAGGCUGGAAGUUCCACUCCAUGGCCUCCAGGUAAUAACCUUGGAGAGAGCUCAGCCAGGGUCUGGUGGCUGCGGGCACGGGCAUCUCAGCUCCACUGGUUCCUCCAUUCAGCUUAACCAGCGCCUCCCAAGCAGCUGCCUAUAGCUGGCUCUAUAACUGAGCCUGGGGAAGAUAGAGGAAAGUCACGUCCCUGCCUUCAAGGGUCUCGCAGACAGGUGGGGAGGCAGAUGGUGAACUGUGGGUACCUAGAACAGCAGAAGUUCACUCAAGCUACAGAAAUACUAGAGGAGGGUAGCUCAUGCCUGCAAUCCCAGUACUUUGGGAGGCCAAGGCAGGAGUAUUGCUGGAGGCCGGGAGUUCGAGACCAGCCUGGCCAAUGUAGUAACACCCCCGUCUCUACAAAAAAUACAAAAAUAAAAAAAUUAGUUGGG
rnacentral:lncRNA from 1 species